AUUGAACGCUGGCGGCAUGCCUUACACAUGCAAGUCGAACGGUAACAGGUCUUCGGAUGCUGACGAGUGGCGAACGGGUGAGUAAUACAUCGGAACGUGCCUAGUAGUGGGGGAUAACUACUCGAAAGAGUGGCUAAUACCGCAUGAGAUCUACGGAUGAAAGCAGGGGAUCGCAAGACCUUGUGCUACUAGAGCGGCCGAUGGCAGAUUAGGUAGUUGGUGGGAUAAAAGCUUACCAAGCCGACGAUCUGUAGCUGGUCUGAGAGGACGACCAGCCACACUGGGACUGAGACACGGCCCAGACUCCGACGGGAUGCAGCAGUGGGGAAUUUUGGACAAUGGGCGCAAGCCUGAUCCAGCAAUGCCGCGUGCAGGAUGAAGGCCUUCGGGUUGUAAACUGCUUUUGUACGGAACGAAAAGCCCUGGGUUAAUACCCUGGGGUCAUGACGGUACCGUAAGAAUAAGCACCGGCUAACUACGUGCCAGCCGCCGCCGUAACAC
rnacentral:rRNA from 1 species